ensembl:snoRNA
ACCUUCUCUAAGGUCUGUACUAAAAUUUCAGAAACUAGUAUCAUGUCUUGGUAUUUGAAAUAAAGCUAGCAGAGUAAGCACAAGAAUCAAAAAAUAACUGAACAGCUGUAACAGAAGAAAAACUGAGAUAGACCUCUUCUAAGACACCCAAAUUCCCACCUUCUAAGAGUUGGUAUAAUAAUA